rnacentral:rRNA from 1 species
UACAUAGGGACCAAGCGUUGUUCGGAUUUACUGGGCGUAAAGGGCGCGUAGGCGGCAAAUUAAGUCAUCUGUGAAAUCUCCGAGCUUAACUCGGAACGGUCAGGUGAUACUGAUCUGCUAGAGUGCGGAAGGGGCAAUCGGAAUUCUUGGUGUAGCGGUGAAAUGCGUAGAUAUUAAGAGGAACACCUGAGGUGAAGACGGGUUGCUGGGCCGACACUGACGCUGACAGCGCGAAAGCCAGGGGAGCAAACGGG